rnacentral:lncRNA from 1 species
CCUCCCUGUCUCUUCCUUUUUUUUCUUCUUUGAUGUGGCUAGAAUAUUGACGUCAUGAUAUUUCUUAGCCCGGUCUACAACUAAGCUAGUACAUCAAGUAUAGGAUAUAAUUUUCCUAAAUGGAAGGUUUAUCUUUACGAAACAUAUUGCAAAUAAGAAGUUUCUAACUCCAAGGGCAAAUUGAUUCUCGAAUAUUCUCUCUAUUACCACU